CCUUGUAUUGCAUGCAUUCAACACCCCAUCAGCAAAGCACACGGCUUUUAGCUGCAAGGCAAUAUUAGUGUUGACGAUGGGUCCCAAGUACUUUGUACUCAGCGCUUGCUGCCUGCUAGCACUUGCACUUGCACUUGGCAGCCAGCGCCAGGUGGUGUUUGCUCGUGACGUGCCGACGCAUACUUCCACUGGCGUCCAUGGCCGCGGUGUGGAUGCCGUCGGCGGCCUUCCCGGAGCCACAGACCAGAGUGAUGUAUUUCGCAUCCCCAAAAUUCCACCGGGAUGUCGUAUACCCCCCUUUUGCCGCCGAGCUCCCGCCACUACAAUUGCAACGAAUCCGUGAGGAAGAACGACGACCAGAGGCCACCAGUUGCCACCUACUGCAAAAGAAAAUAUAUAUGUGUUACUACUGAAUUAUUAUGUGUUACAACUCCCACCGUCCACCUUUGUAAGUGUAUUUAUUUGCCAUGGAAAAACUUUUGCAAUGGGCUGCUUUAUUUCUCUAUA